UGCGUUUACCUUGUCAUGUAUGUGUUAGCUUGUGUAGUCUUUCUUUAGGUUGUACCUCAUGUGUUUUACCCGGUGUAUUGUAUGUGACUACCCUAUUCGUGUAUCGUGCUUGUUUUAUUGACUUUCCUUGUGUUUCCUAUGUAAUGGUAUUUGUGAGAUUCCUGCUUCAGCUAAUAAACCUUUGAUUGGACAACUGUAUGUGUCACAUCAAUCAUUACAUUGGUGUCAGAAGCAACUUUUGAACAUGGCCUCCGCCCAGUGAGAGAAGCUUGGAGCGGGAGACCUCACCACUGGGUGGAGGCCCACACAAGAAGAUCUGGAGAGAGCCCUUGUAAGGGCUACUAAAAAGCUUUUUGCGGCCUUCUGUCACUACUGCCGCUGGAGGAGAGGAGCUGUCGUCUGGAUCUGCCUGCGGCCAUGGGAGGAGAUCUUGCCGGAAGAGGGGCCUAAAGAAGCAAUCAGAGAAGACGACGCUGGCCUGGACGCUGACUCUGCCGCAAGAAGACCAGGAGCCCCUGCCCCUGCCGGGCGGCUCGAGGCUGGAGUUGGCGGUGGCCCUGGCCGCGACGCGUGAGCAGAGCCGAGGGAGAGCGACGAGGAAGAGGUUCUUGGACGACGGACGGUUGGCGGAACCGCUGGGGGCAGCGAACUCACGAUGGUUGGGCAGCUGCAAAGCUGCAGACACACUGAUCUCCUGAUUGAGUUCCACGGCCCCCACCACUGAAAAGAAAGACGUUAAGGAUGUUUCUGAUGGUGAUCACUGUGGCAGAGACCCAGCAGGCGCAGUAGUACACGGCUGAGUGAGACGUCUUCACUUGAGGGAUUUUCAGUAGAAUUUGGUCUGAGCCUUGUUUCUCUGACUCAUAUUCACUGAAACCAGCAUCUUUAUUGGUACUGCCAUCAUCUGCAUCAAUGUACAACAUUCUCUGGAAACCUUCUCCAUCUUUUUUCUGGUACCAGUGAAUGUAGUAUCCCCAACAUCCAGUCGUGUACAGUAUGUGCAUGUUAUCACUACUGAUUUGCCCAGAGGUUUGGUCACUGAGACCUUCUGUUGAAACAUGCUGGCUGCCUGUCCUGGAAAGGGUGAGAAUAGUUAAUGUAUUACCUAAAACACACACAAUUGUCUUUUGGAAGACAGUGAACAUCUUAAUGUUAUUUUACACAACUACAAUAUCCAUAAAUGGCUUUUUAAAGUUUUAGAACUUGUCAGAUGGAC